rnacentral:rRNA from 1 species
GAUAAAAAUUAGUGGCAGACGGGUGAGUAAUGCAUAGGAAUCUACCUAGUAGUAUGGGAUAGCCACUAGAAAUGGUGGGUAAUACUGUAUAAUCCCUGCGGGGGAAAGAUUUAUCGCUAUUAGAUGAGCUAUGUUAGAUUAGCUAGUUGGUAGGGUAAGGCCUACCAAGGCAGUGAUCUAUAGCUGGUCUGAGAGGAUGAUCAGCCACACUGGUACUGAGAUACGGUCCAGACUCCUACGGGAGGCAGCAGUGGGGAAUAAUGGACAAUGGGCGCAAGCCUGAUCCAGCUAUGCCGCGUGAGUGAGGAAGGCCUUAGGGUUGAAAACUCUUUCAGUGGGGAAGAUAAUGACGGUACCCACAGAAGAAGUCCCGGCAAACUCCGUGCCAGCAGCCGCGGUAAUACGGAGGGGGCAA